rnacentral:rRNA from 1 species
GGGCGAGCGUUAUCCGGAUUCAUUGGGCGUACAGCGCGCGUAGGCGGUCUGCUAAGUCCAUGGUGAAAGCGUGGGGCUCAACCCCAUAUAGCCAUGGAUACUGACAGACUAGAGUACUGGAGAGGGUAGUGGAAUUCCAUGUGUAGCGGUAAAAUGCGUAGAUAUAUGGAGGAACACCGGUGGCGAAGGCGGCUACCUAGACAGAGACUGACGCUGAGGCACGAAAGCGUGGGGAGCAAAUA